AGUAUGAACUAGUAGUAGUACGCGUAGAUCGGAACAACGGAGUGCUGUGCGAAGAUGACAAGGGAAAGUCAUACCCGAGACAUUCUCUAAUUCUUGGACUGGCCUCUUGAGUUUCAACGAUAUUUCAGAACAAAUUGUGACUUGAAAAGAUUCAAAUUCUCCUGUCAAAGAAGGCUGACUUAUAAGACAUGAACCUUGCAUGAGUGCCCCAAAGCUCGACUGGGAGACUUAAAAUUCAGACCUGGUAUCAGUCGGAUCAACCUGAAGGCUAAACAAAUGCUGUAAGCAGUCCUCUGAAUUUGCUGGCUCUUAGUGUUUGAGAUUACACUGUAAUUCUUCACUUGGAAGGCUAGGAGUAGGACAGACGUUAAACGGUAAAAGUGAGGAGAAACGAGGCUGAUCAGGAUGACCAGUGUUGGGUCAUCAUCAGUGGUGUGGGAAGCUCUGGGAUGCCUGGCAGGCAUUGACUGGAUCGCUCUCUUCUUUUGGUGUCUUAUCACUUUCUCCCUCUGCCUUGUAUCCAUUCUUCUGAUCAGUUUAUUCCUGCCUGUCACAAUAAAGGUAAGUCUUGGUACUUUUUUUUUAAUUUUCCCAAUAGUCAUCUUUUCAGAUAUUGAAGGUACAAUUACAAUGUAGAAAACUAUUAGAGUUGAUAAAACAUCAGGUCUUUGUCAUUUGGCAUUUACAUAAAAUACAUUUACAUUGUAGGAUGCCAUUGUAAUAACUGGCAUGUAUGUGCAAUUUCUUAUUCAUACAUUUCCGAUAGGGUCUCACAAUUGAUUGAAUUCUAUGGUAUAUUGAUACUAAUAUUGUGCUAGGUUAGUAGAUGUACAUAUAUGUACUAUGUAGACCUACGAGUUACUGCUAACUCAUUGAUUUUGAGUUCAUUAACACCUUUUUUUUCCAUGAAGGAGAAAGAUGAACCAGACAUGCCUUUUGCCCCUUGCUAUGUUAAAGCAAGUUUAUUCCUUUUGAAAACACAUUUUCACUAUCAGAAGUCUCACAAAUUAUAUUUCACUCCUGUAACUCAUGUUCACAUGUAUGCACUAAAUCUUCAUAUAAGUGAAUGAGCCAAGGCUAAAGAGUACCGGUAGAUGGAGAACAGUAGAUGUAGCUUUUCAAUACAUUAUCAUGUCUAAAGUCUAUAAACUUUUUUUUGUAAAGGUUCAUUUAAAGGCACAUUGUCAGCAGGGGGUUUUAUGUAGAAUGUGACACCAUUCAUAUUUCAAUCACCCAUAGUAGAACAGCAUUUAUAACCUGUUGAUGUUGUGUAAUGUCACUGGAAGUUGCCUUAUGGUAUUAAAGUCAUCAUUCAUUAUCUCACUUUUCCUGGCCUGACAGGACAGUUGUCCGAAGCUAUUAAGCAGGCUUGGCUGGAUAAUUUCUUGCUGGUACAUCGAAUUUGCUCCCCCCCCCCCCCCAAGAAGUCUAGAUCAAGAUGCUUCAAAGGCUUUUCACAAAGUGAUAUAAAAAAGGAGCUACAUACAUCAGUAUGCUGACGGAUAAAUUAGGUCUCAAAUUCUUCUGUUGUCUAAAUAUACAUGUAUGAUGAAAUCUUCAAUGUCCAGUAGAAUUAAAAUGUUACCAACUAUCAGUUCCCAGUCUGCUCAGUGCUCUCAUGUUUUUUUUUUUGGUGGGGAGCUUCCCACAUUUAAUAUGCACACAGAUCACUCACAUAUAUUUGCUGUAAUGGAAAUCUUUUUGGUUCUCCAUACAAUUGGCUUUUUAAAAGACCCAAACAGUACAAGAUUCAAUGUUUAUAUUUUGCAUAUUUCAGCCAUUUCUGAACUAAUUUUUCUCAAACAAAUGGUACCCAUGUUUGUAAUUUCCGAUCUUCAUGUAACAUCAGUUGUCAUUUUCAUUGUAGAUGACAAGUAGUGUAGUUAAAAAUAUCCACAGUGCCACCUUUUCCUCUACUCAACAUUAUUUUUUGACAAGUCAAGACUCAAGAGCCUCUUUCAGAUUGUGGACAAAGCUCAACAACUUUUUGUUUUAUUGCACAUGGACAUGGUGAAAUACAUAUUAUUGAUAAAGGAGCAGUAUAGACCGUCAUCAAUUCUUAACAUUAUUCAAAGGUGUAUAUCAUGGCUAGCCUGUGAUGUCUAGCCAUGAUUGUCUGAUGUCAUGAUAUGGUGAAAUCUAAGCCUUAAGGAUUAUCAUGUUAAGAAACAUUGUCGGCAACAUUUUACCUGUACUGGUGUGGUCAUCAUUACCCAACUUAAAUAUCUAUUGAUAUUGAUUAUACGAGUAUUAUGUUUAUUUGAUAUGUGUACACAAAAUUUUCCAAGAGCUCAACAGAAGUAUCAAUAGGUGGUUUCAGACUGCCUCAAAGUUUGUCAGUUCCAGUUAUUUUCUGAUCAGGAAAUUUACCCCUAUCACAAAAUACAGGGUAAUUUGGCAGUGUAAAAGCAAAUUACGCGUAAUCUCCCCGAAAGAACAUAGCAACCCGCUAAAUAGUAGGUACAUGUAGGCUACUUGUCAAAAUUACAAGAACUUUCGCUGGGAUUUUUCCAAGGUCGCAGGUAUUUUGGCAGUGUGAAAGCAAAUUACGAGAACUUUUAGCCCAGCGCGUAGUUGGGCGUGGGCGCUGUGGGUGGCUGCUGAGCUAGCGAUUUUGAAUCUUGUACCUUGAUGCUCUUCACUAUCAGACCAUACUGCAAACACUCGUAACUUGAGGAACUUAUUCCGAAGGGUGUGAUGUGAAUGUGGGAAUAAUUAAAGUUCUGUAUUUUUAGCCUGAAAAAGUACUUGUAAUUUUAAUGGAGAUUCUUGUAACCGAGGCAGUUUGAAACCACCUAAUUGCAUGUACUCAAGUGCUCAUAAUAAUCCACUUUCAUUCAUCCACUUCAUGGUGUUUACAGAGAAGUGAAAGUUGAUCAAUCACAGCACUGGAUUCUCACAAUAUCCUGGUAUCGUGUAGCUCAAAACUUGGAUCCAUUGUCAGCAGUGUAAUCGAUCCGAAAAUGAAAUUCACUGAAUAUGGUGUUGGUUAUCAGCCUUGUCCUUGAAUGUGAUUCUGAUAUUUUACUCACAGGUUCCAGCAAAUUUCAGUGUACAUGUACUGUACAUUAAAUCGACAUGUAUGUCCCUCACUUUUAUUAUAUACCAUUGUUUUGGAAAUCAACCCCUAACUUUAAAAUCAUACAGCAUGCAACUUGAUUUUCAAUCAUCCAAACAAACAUUUAGGAGUUGCAAAUGAUUUUGUGAGUUGUAAUUAAUUACAUUUUUUUAUGCAAGUUCCCAUGCUGUCUGCAGGCACAGACCUUUGGGUUUUCACAAUUCGCAUAGUGCAUUUAUAAUGCAGAGUCUGAAGUAGUGAGACUAGAUUCACUUUGUACUGUGACUGGCUCUUUGGCUGCGUUUAUGCGACCUCAAGCCAGAAUCAUGAUUUGAAUCAUGAUUUGAAUCAUUAUUCAAAGAUUCAAAACACAAACAUGAAUCACAAUAUCACAGAAUCAGCGUUUAGACGACCUUCAUUCCAAUGCUGUUUCUCCUCAGAUUCGGGCCAAUCCAGUGCGCAGUUUGACAGAGGAAGUUUUUCGCACGUGU